rnacentral:rRNA from 1 species
CCUACGGGAGGCAGCAGUGAGGAAUAUUGGUCAAUGGGGGAAACCCUGAUGCAGCGACGCCGCGUGGGCGAAGAAGUAUUUCGGUAUGUAAAGCCCUAUCAGCAGGGAAGAAGAAAUGACGGUACCUGAGUAAGAAGCACCGGCUCAAUACGUGCCGGAAGCCGCGGUAAUACGUAUGGUGCAAGCGUUAUCCGGAUUUACUGGGUGGAAAGGGAGUGCAGGCGGCACGGCAAGCCUGAUGUGAAAGCCCACGGCCCAACCGCGGGACUGCAUUGGAAACUACCGGGCUGGAGUGCCGGAGAGGGAGGCGGAAUGCUUGGUGUAGCGGUGAAAUGCGUAGAUAUUAGGAGGAACACCAGUGGCGAAGGCGGCCUACUGGACGGUGACUGACGCUGAGGCUCGAAAGCGUGGGGAGCAAACAGGAUUAGAUACCCGGGUAGUC